UACGUAGGGUGCAAGCGUUAAUCGGAAUUACUGGGCGUAAAGCGUGCGCAGGCGGUGAUGUAAGACAGUUGUGAAAUCCCCGGGCUCAACCUGGGGACUGCAUCUGUGACUGCAUCGCUGGAGUGCGGCAGAGGGGAUGGAAUUCCGCGUGUAGCAGUGAAAUGCGUAGAUAUGCGGAGGAACACCGAUGGCGAAGGCAAUCCCCUGGGCCUGCACUGACGCUCAUGCACGAAAGCGUGGGAGCAACAGG
rnacentral:rRNA from 1 species